GGUGAGCGAUGAAAUGUUUGUCUUUUCUCUACAGUGGUGCUGACUUAAAUGUCUUGUGCAAUAGGGGUAUGCUGAGCACC
rnacentral:snoRNA from 1 species